rnacentral:rRNA from 1 species
AAAGUCCGCAAGGAUGAGUAAAGUGGCGUACGGGUGAGUAACACGUGGAUAACCUGCCCUUUAGUGGGGAAUACCGCUGGGAAACCGGCGACAAUACCGCAUAAGCUCGAGAGAGGAAAGCAGCAAUGCGCUGAAGGAGGGGUCCGCGGCCGAUUAGCUAGUUGGCAGGGUAAAAGCCUACCAAGGCUGUGAUCGGUAGCCGGCCUGAGAGGGCACACGGCCACACUGGCACUGAAACACGGGCCAGACUCCUACGGGAGGCAGCAGUGGGGAAUCUUGCACAAUGGGGGAAACCCUGAUGCAGCGACGCCGCGUGAGCGAUGAAGCCCUUCGGGGUGUAAAGCUCUUUCGGCAGGGACGAUUAUGACGGUACCUGCAGAAGCAGCUGCGGCUAACUACGUGCCAGCAGCCGCGGUAAUACGUAGGCAGCAAGCGUUGUUCGGAGUUACUGGGCGUAAAGGGUGCGUAGGCGGCUUCUUAAGUCUGGUGUGAAAUCUCCCGGCUCAACUGGGAGGGUGCGCCGGAUACUGAGGGGCUAGAGUGUGGGAGAGGAAAGUGGAAUUCCUGGUGUAGCGGUGAAAUGCGUAGAUAUCAGGAGGAACACCGGUGGUGUAAACGGCUUUCUGGACCAUAACUGACGCUGAGGCACGAAAGCGUGGGUAGCAAACAGGAUUAGAUACCCUGGUAGUCCACGCCCUAAACGAUGCAUAUUUGGUGUGGGCCAUUCAUUUGGUCCGUGCCGGAGCUAACGCGUUAAAUAUGCCGCCUGGGGAGUACAGUCGCAAGGCUGAAACUCAAAGGAAUUGAC